ACUACUAUUCAAACUGUCAUCUGUGCGGCCAGAAAUGUGUGCUUUAUACACGAGCGACUGUUUCACAUUUGCUUGUGCUACAAGGUCUGUCGCUGCUCUAACUUUGUAGACUGUCUCUUAUUUCCACACCUUAUCACUAAACGGGAAUUUAAGGUGAUCUGAAUCGAAUAUUCUGCAUGAUGUCUGAUUAAUUUAGUUUUAUAGGAAUUGGAUUCUUACCGACGCUCGACGCCAUUUCUUAUAAGCUGCCCAAGAGUGUCGAAAUCAAAAGUGAAAUCAGGAAGUUUGUGAUAAAAUCCUCCCCCUUCAGCACACCUUUCCCAAAACACGCCUCAUCCGAGGAAGAGGAAGGCCAGUCAGUGAACUGUUCUCUUGUUACUACAAAUUCAGGGUUUAAUCUUAUCUUUUUCAAGCUGUAGAGCCCAGCUUUAGAUGGAUGGGUGUUCACUGUUCUCCAGUUUUUGUAAUUAAUAACACACGUUAUAUUCCACAUUGCUGCCGCACUGCGGUGAGAUUCUGAUUGAUCUUCUGUCGUAUUUCACCAACUGAACACACAAUAUCAAAUCAAAAUCCGAAGAUCCCGUCUCUCCCGCGCCUUUCAGUUGUGGCUCUUCUCCAGUUCCGGAGUGGGUAGUCAGGAGGGUUGGGAGAAUUCCCUGUUGGGUAAUGUAUAACUGAGUAAAUGUAUAAACUCACCUAUAUUAGCACAAGAACGCUCAAACUAUAAAUGCUACUUCCAAGUGUAGGCUAUAUCUGUAGUAUCUGAGGGGGUAAAACAGCGUCACCACUUCAAGUGUUACAGCCCUGGUUUGCUAACUGUAACUGAAUCUCGUACAGUGGACAGAGACUAGAUUAAGUUAGGUUCUUAUUUUUCGUUUCACCUUAAAUGAUGUGGCAGUUAGAUCCAGACACUCGCUAUUUAAGGUGGAACGGAAAUGCCAAUAAGAAGUAAGCCUCCAGAGAUUAGCAUAUCAAAGUCAGCGCGAUGGUGUGAAUCUGGUACUGGUUGACACAACAGGCCGUGCUCUACACGUUCAUGACUUUCUGUGCAUUACCGAUGUAGCAGUUUUUAUUUGUGAAUCAUGUGUGAAAACACGGUAGAACAUAUCAUUCAAUUUACAUAGAUUAUGGCCACAAUGAUUCGGGCACCAUGCAAAAAGUACUGUUCAUAAAGACAGUGGGCCAGAUUCACAGUGAUGCUAAAAUAAUAAUAAAUAAAGGUGGUAAGACUUUGAUCAGUCAUGCUUGCAUGAUGUGAAUUCAUUUCACUCAUCUUUCUUUAGAGAGCUCCCUGUUUCCGAGGAAAAAUAAACAAUGGUAGUCAUCCACAGAGCAAUGUGAGAAGACUUCUGUCUCCAGCUGAUGCUGUGGCUGUCUAAUUGAAUCACAGUUGAAAUGUUUCUGCAAAACUGUAAGAUGAGCACCAUGUUUUUUUGGACCACCUUGUUUGUAAAUUGAUGUAGCUGCACAUGUAGCAACAUAUAUUUUUGUUCUUUGUUCUUUUAUGUAAAUAUAGUAGCAUAUUACCUGACAGUGAACCAGAUGAGAACACCCAGAUGUUCUCUCCAAAAUGCCCCUAUAGUCCAUCUGAUGUGAGUGAAAAAUGAUGCUAUAUACUUAAUGUAUGAUUGUAUGCUAGGAUAAGAAGUGGAAAAAUUAAAGUAACAUUGUAAUAUUCUAUAUGUUUGCUAUUAUUUUUUCUUUUUUAAAGGGAAUGGAAAAGUCUGAAGAUAUCAUUAGAGUUAAUGGUUUCCAAACCUGAUCCUGGAGAGCUACUUUCCUGAAGAGUUUAGCUCCAACCUGCAUUUCACAUGCUGCCCCUCCACUUACCUAACACUAAAAUACCUAAACCAGCCAAUCAGCAACUUCUGAAAAAGUUAAUUAGGUGGAGCAGGAGUGGAAAAUUGUGAUUGAAAAAGUCUUCCUUUAUUUGUGAUUGUUACUUGAAUCAAAUUGUAAUGUUAUAAUAAUUUCAUGAGGUAUAAAGUGAUAGGUUAUAGGUAUAAGAAAACGGAGUUAAAAAUUUAAUAAAAGACACAGAAAAAAUGGGACUACAAUGGGUCUCCCCUAACAACCAACAAAACCCCUGUCCCCAAUGAGAUAAAGAGUACUUAAAACUUUUAUCUUUGAAAGAAAGGAGAAAAUCAAACUCCAAUCUUACUUCAGAUCUGAAAAAAUCCACAGGUGUUUUUGUCCAUCCUUCCACUGUGAGAAGACAACACAAUGCUUUGGGUCUGAAAGGAUGUGUAGCUGUCCAGAAGCCCACAGAGAAAGACACAGCAGCCCUAUAUGAGGGAAAGUAUUAUCCUGGAGGGAAGUUGAUUGCCUGGUCUCUGUUGCAUGUGGAACCAUUUAUUAAGAACUUCCAUGCUGAAGCUGAGGUUGUCGGGGAGAUAGAGGGGUCGUGAAGUAUCUCAGGAAUGGUUUGGAGUUACCCGCUCAGUGGAACACCACACAGCAGUGUUCAGAAAAAUGACAGUUCAAAACAACCUUUAAGUGAUCUGCAUUCUUCACCUGCAGAUUAUA